rnacentral:rRNA from 1 species
GGGGGAAAAAUUAAUAAAUUAUAAAUAAUAAAAUGAAUUUUAAAUUAAAAAUAAAUAAUGGGGGUUAAAGUAUUUUUAAUGAAAAAAUUUAAAAUUUUAUAGUAAAUUAAGUAUUGUAAAAGAAAUUUGAAAUAAUUGAAAAAAAAAUAAAAAAAAAGAAAAUUUGAUUUAUUGUAUCUUGUGUAUCAGAGUUUAUUAAAUAAUUGUUUUGCAUAAAAAAAUCUCGAAUUUAAAAGAGUUAAUUAAUUAAAAAAGUUAAUGUAACAUAAUUAUUUUAAAUAAUUAAUUAGAAAUGAAAUGUUAAUCGUUUUUAAAUAUAUCUAGUUAUUUUAGAAAAAAAUUUAAUUUUAAAUUUAAAUAAUUUUAUAUUUUAUUCAAAAAUUAUAAAAAUUUAAAUUUUAUAUUUUAAGGGAUAAGCUUUAAAUUAAAAAUUUAUAAUAACAAUAAAUUAAAAUUAAAAUUUUUAAAAUUUAUAUUGUUUAAAAAUUAUAAUUUAUUAUAAAAAAUUUUAAUAAAAAUAAAAUUUAAUACAAAAAUUUAAAUUUUUAUAAAAUAAAAAUUUUUAAUAAAGAAAAAUUAAUAAUAAUGAUAAAAUUAGUAUAAAUAAAAAUAAAAUAUAUUCAUAAAUAAUUGAAUUUAAAUUAAAGGAAUUCGGCAAAAAAAUAUAUUCACUUGUUUAUCAAAAACAUGUCUUUUUGAAUUGAUAAUUUAAAGUCUAAUCUGCCCACUGAUAAUAUUAAAGGGCUGCAGUAUAUUGACUGUACAAAGGUAGCAUAAUCAUUAGUUUUUUAAUUGGAAACUUGUAUGAAAGAUUGGAUGAAAUAUAGGCUGUCUCUAAUUUAUUAUUAGAAAUUUAUUUUUUAGUUAAAAAGCUAAAAUAUAUUUAAAAGACGAGAAGACCCUAUAGAGUUUUAUAUUUAAAUUUAUUUAAAAAAUAUAUAAAAUUUUUAUAUUAAAUAAAUUUAAAUAUUAUGUUGGGGUGACAGAAAAAUUAAAUAAACUUUUUUUAAAAAUUAAACAUAAAUAAAUGAUUAAAUGAUCCAUUAAUAAUGAUUAUAAGAAAAAAUUACCUUAGGGAUAACAGCGUAAUAUUUUUUUUUAGUUCAAAUAAAAAAAAAAGUUUGCGACCUCGAUGUUGGAUUAAGAUAAAAUUUAAAUGCAAAAGUUUAAAAUUUUGAUCUGUUCGAUCAUUAAAAUCUUACAUGAUCUGAGUUCAAACCGGUGUAAGCCAGGUUGGUUUCUAUCUUUAGAAAAUAAAAAUAUUUUAGUACGAAAGGAUCAAAUAUUGAAAAUAAUUUUAAUAGUUAGAAUAUUGGUAAUAGAACUAAA